AUACGGAGGGUGCGAGCGUUAAUCGGAAUUACAGGGCGUGAAGCGUACGUAGGCGGUUGGUUAAGUUAGAUGUGAAAGCCCCGGGCUUAACCUGGGAACUGCAUUUAAAACUGGCGAACUAGAGUUGAGUAGAGGGGAGUGGAAUUUCAGGUGUAGCGGUGAAAUGCGUAGAGAUCUGAAGGAACACCAGUGGCGAAGGCGACUCCCUGGACUCGAACUGACGCUGAGGUACGAAAGCGUGGGUAGCAAACGGGAUUAGAAACCCCGGUAGUCC
rnacentral:rRNA from 1 species